GCAAACUUGGUCAUUUAGAGGAAGUAAAAGUCGUAACAAGGUUUCCGUAGGUGAACCUGCGGAAGGAUCAUUACCGAGUUCGGGUCCCUUUCAUAUAACCAAAGAAAGGCCCAACCUCCAACCCUUUGUCUACCAAACCGAUUGUUGCUUCGGCGGGCCCGCCCCUCACAGGGCCGCCGGAGGUCGCCCCGUCUUCACGGAGGGGGACCCUCUGGCCCGCGCCCGCCGACGGCCAAACACAUAAAACUCUUGUUAAAACAUGUCAGCCUGAUAUCGUUAUAAAACAAAAAAUAACCAAAAACUUUCAACAACGGAUCUCUUGGUUCUGGCAUCGAUGAAGAACGCAGC
rnacentral:misc_RNA from 1 species